AGGCCCCAUUGUGCUGCCAUGCGAACCAAAUGUGGGCUCCAGAGCCCUGUACCACGCCUGACAAGCAAGGAAAUCCCACCUAACGACCAUGCAAAAAGAGUGCCCGGUUUUAGUUCAAUGCUUUCUCACUCUCCAAAGCAAUUCCGAAUGGUUCAUCUGCAAAGCUGUGAGGAAGGGUCUUGUCAAAGCUGGAACCGGAUCACCAGGCAGCACAACAGAGGAGCUGCUGGGCAGGACCUUGGUCCAGUCCUCAGCCAAAGGCCAGCUUAGCUUCCCAUGACUCCAGAACCCAAAGGGAAGGUACACACCACGGGAUAGUUUUGCUCACAGCCAUCUUUGCUUUUUGCUAAGAAAAGCUAGAGGAUUUAUGGUUGCCACCGGAAUGAUUUUCCAUGGAUACUUCUUACCAUAUUUUCAUCUUUUUUCCCCCUGGAUCUGCCUUUAAAAUAAUUUUCACUAAGAUUUAACAGAUGCCCAAUUUCAACCCAAACAGGAGCUGGAGAAAAAUGUGGCAUGGUGCACACUGUUUUACGAUGUGAAAAGUCAUUUAUAAAAGAAGUUUUGAGGCAAAUACUUUGUUUACAAAAAUUCCUCACAGGUGCCAGAUAAGUCUCCUGCCUUAAAAUUCUGGGAAGUGGCACCAGUUUGACUAAAAGAUGCACAUCAUAACAAGGCCCAGAAAAUAAACUGGAACUUCAAGCUGUUCUCAUAGUCCUCGCCGAUCACUGAUCUUAGAUCUAGCUGGGCUCCUCACAGAAACAACAUGCAGAAGUUUGAUGCUAGAGCAAGAAAAGCCUGAAACCUCAAUCACUCCUGAAUUGACAUGGUCCAAAAACAUUGUCUGUACCGUUCUCCUCCUGAAGCAACCACUGCAAACUGUUUGGGGUUCAAGUGCAGCCAGGGAAAGGGGACAAGAAGGGUGGAGUAACAUGGAGUGAAAACAAGGCCACUGAGGAGCCAAGGGUUGUUGAUUUUAACCAGGAAAUCAACUCACAUGAUUGUAGGAGCAAGCCCUAAGGAACACCCACCAAGAAACAGUCGUUAAGAACAAAGUUGUGUCAAAACAAAGUAAGAAAAACAGAAGGAAAAAAACAAACAAACCUGGCUAAUUAAGCACCAAUGUUGCCUUUACUGCAGCUCAUGCGAUUAUCUGUUUACAAACCCAUCUCCCACAGCGAACCACCAGUUCCACAAAAGCAGAGACCACCCUUCACCUAUCUCUAAAUCCAACUCACCUUCAAUAAGAAAAAUUACAGCAUUUCUUACGAUCUGUGCAGCCAUCAACCUAAUCCAAGCCUCCAUCAUUACUCCCCUAUCGUUUCAGUGAUAAUACUAGCAUUUAGAGGGUACUUUUUCAGUGUGGGGGCACUGCUUUAACUGCUUUGACAGAAUUCACUUGUAAACCCUCACAACUCAGAGAUCUCAGAGACCUCCUCCAUCACUGGUCUCCAUGGGCUGAUCCAUCACUUUGUCUCUCAUAAACAACAUGCAGAACAACAUCUCCCUUUCACAGAUGAAGACACUGGGUCUCAGAGGGACUAACUUCUAGGAGACACAGCUAGCCUGGCAGAAUUAGGAUGGCCCUCAACUGACUUAGUGUGUGGUCAUAAGGCGCUGCCUACAGCAGCCAGAGGAAGGUCUUUGCUUCAAAGUCACGUUUUACAGCAGACCCUGCCUGACCACCACCCCCGCCCCCUCCAUUACAUCACCAGAGCACUUAUCUCGACCUAAAAUCACUUUUGUCUUCUAUCUGGCGCCAGCACCCCCCCCCCCCCAAAUACUCUGUGGGUUCUGGAGAUAGCCGUUUCUUGGAGUCCUCCGUGGCCCGGCGUCUGGCACACAGUAGGCGCUCAACUCAGUUACGUGAACCUGAUGAAUGCUGGAAGGAAGCCCCGCGCUCUGCCCGGUCCCUGGAGUCCAAGCCACCGGCUCCAGGCCGAGUAUAUAUCCUACUGAAAGCCCCCCUCCUCCAGGCUGGUAGGAAAUGCAGUCUUGGUCUCCACUGGGCUCUUCUUAGCCAGGUUAUUCCAAGGACUCAGGAUCUCCUGCAGCAGCAGUCUGAGAAGUCACGAGCUCUCUCUGAUGCUGAGGCCAUUGUCCCAAUCACAGGACUUCCAGGGUCGGGCUCUGAGGGGCCAUGCCUGCUGCCCCAAGAUUGACAGGGGCACCUGAGUGGCUCAGUCAGGCCUGAUAAACUCAAACUCGGUGUGGAAUAAAUAUCACUGCUACUCUGGCCUCAGAAAUACAAGAUAAUUUCUCUUGUUAAGAUGUCAAUCAAGAUGACUCUUACCUGGAAUUGAAGGACUUUAGGGUCCAACAGAGAUGGUGACCCAGAAAUCAAUGUGGAGGAAGAAGCCAGGACCUGAGGAAUGCAGACGGCCUCGAAGCUGGAAAGGGCAAGGAAACAGAUUGUUCCCGAGAGCCUCCAGAAGGAACAAGCCUGCUGACACCUUGACUUUAGCCCAGUAAGACCCACUUCAAACUUCUGACGUCCAGAACUGUAAGAGCCGCGCCCUUCCAGCGAGGCCAGCAGAUGGUGCCAGUGAGCUGCGAGACUCACCUGGAGCAGACUGGAGCCAGCCUGCCAGCCCCCCACCAACCAGUGACCCUCUAGAGCCUGGGAACUUCUCCACCUGAUGAGGGCUAAGGGUUCAGCUGCCAAGGAGGCCACAGAAGACUGCCGCAUAGAUCCUAGGAAGGAGGCCUGGUCUCUUGGCCUUGGAAGUAGGGUGAAUUUGGGUGAGCUGGGUAGGCACAUAUAAAAAUGUGGCAGGUCACCCAGUCCCACAAGACCCAAAUCACACAAGACUAAUGGUUCUGUCCAAGGUGGCAGAAAAUCCCAAAAGAUGAGCUGGAAAUACCCCCUCCCCAUCCUAGCCAUCCUAUACUCUGCAACCAAAGGCAAUUCUCUAUACCCCCUCUCAGCAAGUCUUUCUCCCCACCAUAGGCUUCCCAAUAAGUCAGGAUUCUUCAUGGUUCCUUCUCAGGACAGUGUAGGAUUCUGCUUCUCAUUCUGUGUUCUCACUUUGCUGUCCCACUUCCACUUCCCAUAGUUUGGGUUCUAGUUCAGCAAGUGCUAAGGACUACCUGUGUGGCCUUGACCUUGAAAACUGCUGGGACCCCCACCCCACUUCCUCCUCUAAAUGCCUGUCCAGCUCCCA